UACGGAGGGUGCAAGCGUUAUCCGGAUUCAUUGGGCUUAAAGGGAGCGUAGGUGGCUUUGUAAGUCAGUGGUGAAAUCUUAGAGCUUAACUCUAAAACUGCCAUUGAUACUGCUUAGCUUGAAUCACGUCGAGGUGGAUGGAAUAUUACAUGUAGCGGUGAAAUGCUUAGAUAUGUAAUAGAACACCGAUUGCGAAGGCAGUUCGCUAGGCGUGUAUUGACACUGAGGCUCGAAAGCGUGGGGAUCAAACAGG
rnacentral:rRNA from 1 species